GUAGGGAAUCUUCCACAAUGGACGAAAGUCUGAUGGAGCAACGCCGCGUGAGUGAAGAAGGUCUUCGGAUCGUAAAACUCUGUUGUUAGAGAAGAACGUGCGUGAUAGUAACUGAUCAUGUAAUGACGGUAUCUAACCAGAAAGCCACGGCUAACUACGUGCCAGCAGCCGCGGUAAUACGUAGGUGGCAAGCGUUGUCCGGAUUUAUUGGGCGUAAAGGGAACGCAGGCGGUUUUUUAAGUCUGAUGUGAAAGCCUUCGGCUUAACCGAAGAAUAGCAUUGGAAACUGGAAGACUUGAGUGCAGAAGAGGAGAGUGGAAUUCCAUGUGUAGCGGUGAAAUGCGUAGAGAUUUGGAAGAACACCAGUGGCGAAGGCGACUUUCUGGACGAUGUCUGACGCUGAGGCGCGAAAGCUAGGGGAGCGAACGGGAUUAGAUACCCGUGUAGUCC
rnacentral:rRNA from 1 species